CUGAGCCAGAGUUAUACGAGGCUAUUUUAAGUAACACUAUGUUGUUCGCCGCGUCGAAGAAAACUGUUUUCCCCUUUGAAUCACUAACGGCAAAAUAAUUUUCCUGCAAUACUGAAAUUUAGUCAUGCGACGAUUUCCGCUAAAUUUUAUCGAGAAAUGACUCCAUUACUAACCAUACCACCGGCCCACGCACGCAAUCAUCUGAAAGACCAUUGUCAGCGUUUUCCCGCAGGAUUCCCCGUUGUGCAACCGAUUUCGGAAACAUCCAGACGGAGAUUCGUAGAAAAGAAAUCCGCAGAUUGUGCUAAUGUCCGAGGUAGGUCGUGAGUACUACUUUGUAUUCGUUGGAAGUGCUCUAAAAAGUGUCAUAAAUAUAUCGUUCCGAACAGGUACCUUUCUUUCUGCCACAGGAAGUGCAACUUCUGACCGCCACGAUCGGAUUUAUGGCCCAUGCCUGGCGGACGGUAUGGGUAUCCGGUAGCUGUUACCCAGCAGCCGUUCCGACGUCGACAUUAUGCUGCACAAGGCUGUCGCCGCAGAAGAGAAGGUCCUGGAUGUCACCGUUAUCGCGAUGCUGUUUUCCGGGGAUUCACUUGACAUAUUUUAUAAUUAGAUUUUAAGAUUUUAUUAUUUAUUCAAUUGAAUAAAGUUGCAGUUGCGAGAA